UACAGAGGUCCCGAGCGUUGUUCGGAUUCAUUGGGCGUAAAGGGCGCGUAGGCGGCGUGGCAAGUCUGAUGUGAAAUCCCGGGGCUCAACCCCGGAACUGCAUUGGAUACUGCCUUGCUUGAGUACUGGAGAGGGAACUGGAAUUUACGGUGUAGCAGUGAAAUGCGUAGAGAUCGUAAGGAAGGCCAGUGGCGAAGGCGAGUUCCUGGACAGUUACUGACGCUGAGGCACGAAGGCCAGGGGAGCAAACGGG
rnacentral:rRNA from 1 species